rnacentral:rRNA from 1 species
GAUGAACGCUGGCGGCGUGCCUAAUACAUGCAAGUCGAGCGAACAGACGAGGAGCUUGCUCCUCUGACGUUAGCGGCGGACGGGUGAGUAACACGUGGAUAACCUACCUAUAAGACUGGGAUAACUUCGGGAAACCGGAGCUAAUACCGGAUAAUAUAUUGAACCGCAUGGUUCAAUAGUGAAAUACGGUUUUGCUGUCACUUAUAGAUGGAUCCGCGCCGCAUUAGCUAGUUGGUAAGGUAACGGCUUACCAAGGCAACGAUGCGUAGCCGACCUGAGAGGGUGAUCGGCCACACUGGAUCUGAGGAACGGUCCAGACUCCUCCGGGAGGCAGCGGUAGGGAAUCUUCCGCAAUGGGCGAAAGCCUGACGGAGCAACGCCGCGUGAGUGAUGAAGGUCUUCGGAUCGUAAAACUCUGUUAUUAGGGAAGAACAAAUGUGUAAGUAACUAUGAACGUCUUGACGGUACCUAAUCAGAAAGCCACGGCUAACUACGUG